CGAGCUUUGUUCUCCCAGUCUAGCCUGAGUCAGAGCUGCUUGCUGUUUGCGUCCUAGGCCACGAGGACUGUCGCUCUUCCUUCAAACGUUUGUAUUAUUAACGUGGUAGACAAAUCCAACCUUGAGAGUGAGGCCGAUAUCUGGCGCGACAGCCACUGGACCUGAGACAUGUUAACUUUUCUCUGCAUUAAGUUAUUUGUUUAGGUAAACAUUUUUGGAGGCACAGUAUGGGCACAUAAUGUGAACUGAACGAAGGAAACCGAAUACUUUAGGCAGGGUCGACAGGGCUGAGUUGAUGCUGUUUGUAUUUCUAUUAUCUGGAUUCAGGCAACAAAAGUUGAGAUUGUAAUAAUGCCUUACAUUUAUUACUAUACAUUUUCACACCCUUUUCAUAUGUGUCAUAGAAUUUGUGCCCAUAAUUGGGAUAGUAUUCAUUCACUGGUAAUUAAAAGUGUUCUGGAUGAUUUUCAAGUGCUGGCUAGGUUCUGGAGAUAGACACAGCACCAAAUAAAACAAGACUCUACCUUCGUGGAAUUUAAAUUCAAGGAGGGGGAGACAUAAACGUCUACAUAAAUCAGGUAGUGGCGACAGGAAACAAAAGCCGGGUAGAUGAGAUGGGAAGUUAGAGGCUGGAGAGGGCAGGACUUUUUGAAGAGGCAGCAUUUGAAUAGACUCCUUGAGGAAGCACUGAAACCAAAUAUUUAUUAAGGCUCUGGACCCCACCCCACCAAACCUCAACUAUAUUUCAAAACCACAUCAUUUGGCGCCUGAACGUGGGGCUUCCGAGUCUUUUCGUCCGGACUCUGAGCUUUGGUGCAAACUUGGACAGCCACCUAAGUCACCAGGACGGCUGCCAAUCUUAAGACUACAAGGAAAACAUGGCGUCUGCUCCUCUGUUGGAGUUGAUGAGCUCUGGAACUGGGAACCCUUUCUCUGCCUUCGGCAGCGCUUCGCCUCUUCUGCCUCCCCUUCUCCCACCUCCUGUUUCUGCACCACCUUGGGUGUGGCCUUCGUAACUGGCUUCUAUACAUCCUCCAUGCAAGCAUGGCUCCUCCCUUCGCUGUCAAGAGGCAAGAAGAGCACCUCCUGGGUCUAACACCGCCUACUCCAGAUCUCUCCACCAGUGUCUCAGAGAGAGAGACAGCCAGCGAGCGAGAGAGAGAACACAAGCAGGAGGAGUGGGAGAGGAAGAAGCAGACUCCCAGCGGAGGAGCCUGAUGUGGGGCUCGAUCCCAGAACGCCAGGAUCACACCCUGAGCUGAAGGCAGAUGCUUAACGACUGAGCCAGGCGCCCCUUAUUUUACGGGAUUUAAGAGACAAAUGCAUGGGGAUAAUUAGGAAUCUAUGUCAAAGGGUAUACAAUACAUAAAGAUGUAAUUUGUGAUCUCAAUAACAGAUAGUAUUAGUUGUAUCCAGUGCAGUUUUUGAUUGUGUGUGAUUGAAGUCAAGUUGGUAUCGAUUUGAAAUAGAUUGUUACAACUUUGAUAUGCAAUCCCCAUGGUAACCACAAAGAAAAUAUUUAUAGAAUACAAAAGGAAAGGAGGAGGGAAUCAAAAGUGUCACUACAAAAAAAAAUAAA
ensembl:lncRNA